rnacentral:lncRNA from 1 species
GAUGCAAUUACAGGACUUAUUAAUCAUUCAUCGACAAAAGAUAAAAAAUCCGAAAUAGGUGAGAAAUCAUUUAGUAUAAAAUAAUAGUUGGUUAAAACCUCACAUUCCCCUCGUAUAAUUUAGUAUACAUUUAAUAGUUCUUUAAAACUCCACCUUUCCCCAACUUUUCAGCCUCAUAUAUUUUUUUUUUAUUUUUCUGUCAUUGACCUUAUAUUAUAUAUAUACAUUCACUACUAGCUAUUGAUAUAUUGUUGAUUCAUGCUGAUAUUUAACCCCUUGAAAGCAAAGAUGGUUAUGAUAUAGCCCUAGAUGCUUUUAAAAUAAAAAAAAAACCAACACAUUUCUCUUUAUAUUUGAGAUGUUACUUUUACUUCUGAGCUUUUUUGGAAAUUUAUUAUUGUUAAAUGUACUUGCAAUAUUAUUAUUAUUGAAACAUAUACAUUUUGAACUUAACAAAUGAAUGAAAUAUAAUAAGAGGCAUUUUGACAUUUAUUAAAAUUAUGCACAAUAGAUCGAAAGAUAGGAGUAAAAGAAACAAAAAGAUAUGCAAAUCCUCAUUUGAAAAAAAUAAUAUAUUUUAUUACAAACUUAUUGUUAUUUUACCCUAUAUUGAAUAUAAAUCAAAGUCAGAAGUAUUUUCUUUUCAUGUGAGUUAUUAAGAAAGUGUUAUUUUUAGCUCACCUGGCCCGAAGGGCCAAGUGAGCUUUUCUCAUCACUUGGUGUCCGUCGUCAUUAACUUUUACAAAAAUCUUCUCCUCUGAAACUGCUUGGCCAAAUUUAAACAAACAUUGCCAAAUUCAUUAUUAGGGUAUCUAGUUUCUAGUUUAAAAAUUGUGUCCAGUGACCCAGUCAACCAACCAAGAUGGCCGCCAUGGCUAAAAAAAGAACAUAGGGGUAAAUUCAGAGAUAAACGGUAAACAGCAACAAUGUUCAGCAAAGUAAGAUUUACAAAUAAGUCAACAUGACCGAAAUUGUCAGUUGACCCCUUAAGGAGUGAUUGCCCUUUAUAGACAAUUUUUUACCAUUUUUCGUAAAUCUUAGUAAUCUUUUACAAAAAUCUUCUCCUCUGAAACAACUGGGCCAAACUAAACCGAACUUGGCUACAACUAUCAUUGGGGUAUUUAGUUUAAAAAUUGAGUGGCGUGACCUGGCCAACAACCAAAAUGGCCACCACAGCUAAAAAUAGAACAUAGGGGUAAAAUGCAGUUUUUGGCUUAUAACUCAAAAACCAAAGCAUUAAGAGCCAUUUGACAUGAAAUAAAAUUGUUUAUCAGGUCAAAAUCUAUCUGCCCUGAAAUUUUCAGAUGAAUGGGACAACCUGUUGUUGGGUUGCUGCCCCUGAAUUGGUCAUUUUAAGGAAAUUUUGCUGUUCUUAGUUAUUAUCUUGAAUAUUAUUAUAGAUAGAGAUAAACUGUAAACAGCAAUAGGAGGUAUUGUCCUUUAUAGUAAAUUUUUAACAAUUUUUCGUAAAUCUUAAUCUUUUACAAAAAUCUUCUCCUCUGAUACUACCUAGCCAAAUUAAACCAAACUUGGCCACAAUCAUCAUUUGGGUAUUGAGUUGUAAAAAUGUGUGGCGUGACCCAGUCAAACAAUUAAGAUGGCCUCCACAGCUAAAAAUAGAACAUAGGGGUAAAAUUCAGUUUUUGGCUCAUAACUCAAAAACCAAAGCAUUUAAAGCAAAUCUGACAGAAGUAGAAUUGUUUAUCAGGUCAAAAUCUAUCUGCCCGGCAAUUUUCAGAUGAAUUGGACAACCUGUUGUUGGGUUGCUGCCCCUGAACUGGUAAUUUUAAGGAAAUUUUGCUGUUAUUGGUUAUUAUCUUGAAUAUUAUUAUAGAUAGAGAUAAACUUUAAAAUACAAUAAAUGCUGUCAAAGUAAGAUCUAUGAAUAAGUCAAUAUGACUGAAAUUGUCAGUUGACCUCUUUAGGAGUUAUUGCCCUUUAUAGUCAAGUUUUAGUGAAACUACUUUAUUAUAGAUAGAGAUAAUUGUAUACAGUGUAGAAUCCUGCGUCCUUUGUUUAAUAUUCACACAGACCAAGGUGAGCGACACAGGCUCUUUAGAGCCUCUAGUUUUAAAAGCAAUGUAUUUGCAUAAUAAUAGUCUUUUUAGUUAGUAAAAUAAGUUGAUGUUUUGUAGGCAGAAAAAGAUCAGGAAAUAAGAAAAUAGAUACAGCAGAAUCCAAGAAGUGUACAGUAAGACUGACUGAUAUUGGUACUAUUAAAAACUUGAAAACAUAUGUAAACAAGACAGAGAAAAAAAAGAAAAGAAGGAAGAUAUGUGUAAAGAACUUGUAAAAAAAAUGUUAAAUGUUAAAGGGGCACUAGCUGUCAAAUUCAUGUUCACCGAUUUUACUUAAUUUCUAGUAUUUGAUUUAUAAUAAUGAAUAAUGUUAACAUUUAUCCAACCUAUUAAAAGUCUAAAAUAAAUUAUUAAGAGGACACGGUAUAAAAUUACAUAGCUUCAUUUCGUGUGUUCUCAGUCUAGACCGCCAUCUAAUUAAUUAUUGAGUUGACCUCUAAAGUCAUUCAAUGACCAUAUAAGCGAUGUAAACAUAAAUAUAGAUAUAAAUAGAUCAAGCAAAUUCAUGCUCUUGGAUUAUUCUAGGUCUAUUUAAUUUUAUAUUAUAGAUGAAAAAUUAAUGUUUAUCAUCGUUUUUAUCUGUAUAAG